rnacentral:lncRNA from 1 species
UGGUCACUUACUCAUGAGAUGAUUUAGACAAUGGGUUAUCUUGAUUUUCAGGUGUAUCGAUAUGGUUGUCUACUUGUUUUCCAGAUCUUAAAGUAUGAAUUGUAUUUAAUUGAUUGAUCUGGGCUCCUUGUUGUGAUCCUUGAUUGUUCUAGGUUCUAGAAUUAACCUCGGAUUGACUCGAUAGUUUAUCUUUUUCUCUUUCACUCACAGUCGUAGC